GACGAACCACCCAAACGUUAUUCGGAAUUACUGGGCUUAAAGAGUGCGUAGGCGGUCUUGUAAGUAGGGUGUGAAAUCCCACAGCUCAACUGUGGAACUGCGCUCUAAACUACAUGACUAGAGGGAUAUAGAGGUGAGCGGAACUGAUGGUGGAGCGGUGAAAUGCGUUGAUAUCAUCAGGAACACCGGAGGCGAAGGCGGCUCACUGGGUAUCUUCUGACGGCUGGAGGUGCGAAAGGCGUGGGGAGCAAACAGG
rnacentral:rRNA from 1 species